ensembl:lncRNA
AGGUUUAGAUGAGGUCACUAUGGUGGGGCCUUCAUGAUGGGAUUAGUGCUCUUAUCAGAAGAAACCAGAGCCUUGCUUGCACUCUCUCUGUGAUGAGACAGCAAGAGGUGGCUGCCUGCAAGCCAGGAAGAGAACUCUCCAGAACCUGACCGUGCUGGCACCCUGAUCUCAGCCUUCCAGCCUCCAGAAAUAACCCCACAUCCUAGCACAGAUUUGGAAGGCUGGAUUCCUUGCUGGCAGCAGUAGGCUCAUCAGAACAGGAGGUCCAGGCUGCCUCUCAAAAUCCAGGUGAGAGAAUGCCACACACCACACAGGUAUUGAUGGGCUCACACAUCUCCAUCAGCCCUGUCCUUGGAGGGAGGCUGAGCACUAAGGACAAGUUUGGCCUGGUGACUGAAGAUACUCUGUGGUUGGCCUUACGGGUCAGUUUAUCCUUCUGGAAAGCUGUCCCUAGAGGUUUGGGUGUGACAGCUCCUGCCUUCAUUCCCUCAGCCUUGAUUACAGUGGUGGUAGGGAUCAAAUGCCCAGGAUUUUCCAGUCUGCCUGUUGCCAAUAUGAGUGCUUGCCUAUUACCCAAGGGUCCUCAUGAGACACCUCUGGCCGGCAGCCCAAGUGCCGUGGGGGUAGUAAUAAACUCUUACUGCUUUGUAAGUGCAGCCUUCAGCACAGACCCUGGCCAAAAGCGUCUGAUUCUUAUCAGAGGCUGAAGGACAGGUUUUGCUGGAGUUUCUAUGCCCAAACUUGAAAAGCAAGUUCAUCUGCCCCUUUACUCUGCAAACAUGGGGUUCCAUCUUAUUCUUGAGAAAAGGCCAAACACUCCGCCUCCAUAAUGACUCUAGAGAUCACUGUGUGGCCUAGUGACCACUGGCUGCUGGUCACUGGAGCAAGGCUGACCAACUGUGACACUUUGCCUGGGACUGAGAGGUCUCCUGGGACUUGGGAUGUUCAAUGCUAAAACCGGGGAAGUCCCAAGCAAUCCGGGAUGAGUUGAUCACUUUAACCAGAACUGAUCCUUGUCCUCUUAGACCAGCUCCUCAGCAUCCACACGAUGUACAACUCAGCCAAAAUCCAUGGUGGAAGGACAAAGAAAGAGCUGGAUCUGGAACAACCGAGGCCCCGCUGUUCUUUGCCUUGUUUAGGACUCUCACUGUGUUCAGAACCCUCGUAGACAUAGGGUAGUCUUCGUCCUCCUAGACUUGGCAAGGGAAGGAGAGAGGAGGAACAGGGAUUGUCAUCCCCACAUGCCUGGACAGUAUUCUAAGUCCCUUCCAAAAUGGAAUGUUGAUAGUUAUUUGUAGGUUGAGAAAUGUAUGACUAGUACAGAAUUGGGCCAGGGACCUGGAACAUCGAAACCUUCCUUCCAUCAUCCACUCCUUCCUGCAAGGUCGUGAGGGAAUCUAUACUCGCUGAGGACAAAGACAGGCAAAGGGACAGUUUUUCUAGCUGGUGCUUUGGCCCCAAGCCCUAUCGUCAAACUCCAGUGACCUGGCCUGGGUCACUGAAAGGGCUCGCUCUGGCUGACUCAGAACCAAAGCACAAAUCCGAACCUCAGGUCAAACCACUCCAACGGGAGGAACAGCCAAGCCAGGAAAGCCACCAAUGAGCAGGGCUGAAGAAAAAGGAUGAGACACACGCGCAAGAGAGUAUUCAGCCCAAUGACCAAAGCCAGGUGCAUCUCCUGGCCAGGGCGUCGGGGAAUACCUGUUAAGCCAGACAUCACAGACCCCUCCCAGCCCACAACCCUCUGGAAGCACUGGCAUCCAAAAAGAGAGAGUGCCUGGGUCUUUAUUAUGCUUUACUGUGCUUUAUUUUCCUGGAAACCUUACAGGCACAGUAUCUAAACAGACUAUGCAUGUGCUUUGGGACCUUUACCUAUUUCAAAAGCUCUAUGUCUGUAGCCCAUUAAAAUGUCCUGAUUUGACCAAUUCAUUGGAGCUUGCAUCCUUUUGGGGGAUGCGAGUCUCCUCUGCCUUGGAAGCCACUAUUGUGUAAGUAGCCACAGGCCUGGUAGUCAAGAGACCUGAGCUUUAGUAUUUUUAAAGAUAUCUGUGAUUGACUUGAGGCAAAACAUUUAACUUCUCAGUUUCCUCACCUGUAAAAUUGAUUGGACUAAACAUUUGGGCCUAAGAUUUCUUCCAGCUUUAUGAUUCAUCUCUCUCUCUCUUACACACACACACACUCUUAUUCUGUUUUAUUUCUGGAUAUUAACUCUGAAUGCCAUGCUGAGCCAUAUUAGAGGCUGAGGCAAAAGGAAAAAAUCAGUAAUACUGGUCCUCUUUUAUUUAAAAUAUGGAUAUUUUGUUCAUCAUGAAUUUGUUGCAUUAAUUUGGAUUUUUAAAAUAGUGCAUUAAAAUAUUAAUCUUGAUUGCUGAAUUUUUGGUGGCCCCUUAAAUUGUGUGCCCAAAGCAAGUGUCUCAUUUCAUGCUGGUCCCAGCCCUGUUAGCACCUCUCUACAUCUGGGUGAGCUGCAAGAUGAACAAAGAAGGGACUGCCACAGACAGGCAGAGAGAAGAGACUAAAUGCCACCCACUUUACAAAGUUACCUAGAGCCAGCCAUAGUGGUUUGAUGGACGGAUGGAUAAUUUUAUUAUCUGUCACCACCUAUAAUUUCUAGUUGUUUUUGUUGUGUUUGUUUUGUUUCCCCAGACUCAUAAUUUUGAGUCUGGGGACCCUCUGGGGUUUUUUUGUUGUUGUUUUUUUAAUCUCAGCCUCCACACAACAAAUGCCCAGUGCAGAGUUAAGCACUGAAUUGUUAGAACGAAACGGUAGGACACACACCAGAUUCUAGAUUUCACACUCACCCUUCUCUUGACCUUGCAGAAG